rnacentral:tRNA from 1 species
GCAGGGGCUUCAGUGGUAGAAGUCUCACCUUCCACACAGGAGACCCAGGUUCGAUUCCUGGCCAAUGCA